rnacentral:rRNA from 1 species
UACGUAGGGCGCAAGCGUUGUCCGGAUUUAUUGGGCGUAAAGGGCUCGUAGGCGGUCUGUCACGUCGGAUGUGAAAACUCGGAGCUCAACUCCGGGCCUGCAUUCGAUACGGGCAGACUAGAGUUCGGUAGGGGAGACUGGAACUCCUGGUGUAGCGGUGGAAUGCGCAGAUAUCAGGAAGAACACCGAUGGCGAAGGCAGGUCUCUGGGCCGAUACUGGCGCUGAGGAGCGAAAGCGUGGGGAGCGAACAGG